AUGCUUGUAAUUUGUUCAGUUUCUCGCUGGAUUCCACUCAAAACGGCAACAGCUGUUGGCCACCACCAUUACCUCACUCCAGCGAUCUGGCAACGCCGCGCAGCCCUCGCUUUUGCGCUCCACUGUGUCCACAGUCAUUCGCUUUUAUUUAUACGAAAAAGAAGUUCCGGAUCCAAUUCCGUGUUAAUUGAAAACGUUAAUCAGUCGUCCGCGAGUUGUGCUCUUAUCAACACUUUUCGCGCGUGUUUUCCUGCAUUAGGCAGCGUACGGCCACCAAAGCGUUGCAGGAGCGACAUGGACAACACCUCCACCUCGGACAUUGUCAUCAUCAAUGGCAACUCGCAUCCGGAUCUGGCCAACAUGGUGGCCGAGCGUAUGGGCAUCAAGAACGGGGGCUGCUCCGUGUUCCACAAGUCCAACAGGGAGACCAUUGUGGAGAUCAGUGAUUCCGUUCGAGGCAAGGACAUCUACAUCAUCCAAACGGGCACUAAGGAUGCCAACAACAACAUCAUGGAGCUGCUGAUCAUGGCCUACGCCUGCAAGACUUCCUCGGCUCGCUCGAUCGUGGGAGUGAUUCCAUACUUGCCCUAUUCCAAGCAGUGCAAGAUGCGCAAGCGCGGCUGCAUUGUGUCCAAGCUGCUGGCCAAGAUGAUGUGCACCUCUGGCCUUACGCACAUCAUCACCAUGGAUCUGCACCAGAAGGAAAUCCAGGGCUUCUUCGACAUACCCGUGGACAAUCUGAGGGCGUCGCCCUUUCUGCUCCAAUACAUUCAGGAGAGCAUUCCUGACUAUCGCAACUCGGUGAUUGUAGCUCGCAACCCAGGCGUGGCCAAGAAGGCCAACUCCUAUGCCGAGCGACUGCGUCUUGGCCUGGCCGUCAUCCAUGGCGAACAGAAGGAAACGGAUGCCGAUGAGGUCGACGGUCGCUACUCCCCUCCACCGACCAGUGCGUAUAGCAAUUUAUUAGGAAAUUCAGUUGAAAUGUGCUUACCAGCGACGCCUAGAAACUCUACUCCACAACACGCCCCAACCAGCAGCGCCCGCCAGCGAACCACCUCGGUGUCGGUGGGUGUUCCGGAGCACAUUGUCAAGGUCAAGCCACCGCUGACCAUUGUGGGAGACGUCAGUGGACGCAUCGCCAUCAUGGUGGAUGACCUGAUCGACGAUGUGCAGGCCUUCGUGGCCGCCGCUGAGAUGCUGAAGGAGAACGGUGCCUGCAAGAUAUACGUGCUGGCCACGCAUGGUCUGCUUAGCUCGGAUGCACCGCGUCAGCUGGAUGAGUCGCCCAUCGAUGAGAUCGUUGUAACCAAUACCAUUCCACACGAGAUCCAAAAGCUGCAGUGCCAUAAGAUCAAGACGAUCGACAUCUCCAUUCUGAUCGCUGAGGCCAUUCGCCGCAUCCACAACAAGGAGUCCAUGUCCUAUCUGUUCCGCAACGUAACGCUGGAGGACUAGGCCCACCCACACACCCACUCAUACAACCACUCACAAGUCACACAAAUAGUGUUGGAACCGACCCGUUUUGGGUAGUUUUUCGUUUGUUUAUCGCUUUUAGACAUCAAUUCAACGUGCGCCCAGCGCCUCACAUAUACUCCACACUGUCCUACAUGUUGUGCGUUCAUCUACGGCUAACCACUUCCGUCUAGUUCUUAAGUCAGAGAUCCCACAACUUUGUCCAAAUAAAAGCCAAUUGUACACAA
rnacentral:misc_RNA from 1 species